GGCUCAGGAUGAACGCUGGCGGCGUGCUUAAUACAUGCAAGUCGAACGAAGCACUUAAGACGGACUUCUUCGGAACGAAGACUUUUGUGACUGAGUGGCGGACGGGUGAGUAACGCGUGGGUAACCUGCCUUGUACAGGGGGAUAACAGUUGGAAACGACUGCUAAUACCGCAUAAGCGCACAGUACCGCAUGGUACGGUGUGAAAAACUCCGGUGGUACAAGAUGGACCCGCGUCUGAUUAGCUAGUUGGAGGGGUAACGGCCCACCAAGGCGACGAUCAGUAGCCGACUUGAGAGAGUGAUCGGCCACAUUGGGACUGAGACAUGGCCCAAACUCCUACGGGAGGCAGCAGUAGGGAAUAUUGCACAAUGGGGGAAACCCUGAUGCAGCGACGCCGCGUGAAGGAUGAAGUAUUUCGGUAUGUAAACUUCUAUCAGCAAGGAAGAUAAUGACGGUACUUGACUAAGAAGCCCCGGCUAAAUACGUGCCAGCAGCCGCGGUAAUACGUAUGGGGCAAGCGUUAUCCGGAUUUACUGGGUGUAAAGGGAGCGUAGGCGGCAUGGCAAGUCAGAAGUGAAAGCCUGGGGCUCAACCCCGGAAUUGCUUUUGAAACUGUCAGGCUGGAGUGUCGGAGGGGUAAGCGGAAUUCCUAGUGUAGCGGUGAAAUGCGUAGAUAUUAGGAGGAACACCG
rnacentral:rRNA from 1 species